rnacentral:misc_RNA from 1 species
GCAGAGAGAGCUUGUCGAGUAAUGGGGCAUGUUGUAUUUCCUCUUUGUAGCCAUUCUUGAAUUGCUUUUCUUUCGUAAGUCUGACCAGUUUCAAGAGUUACUGGGUCAUUAAAAAGCUGGCCUGUGAUAGGGCAAACAAAAUCUUUUGGUGGUCUUGAACGAUAAGUCAACUUAUCAGACAUUGGGAGCGAAAUGUAACUCUGGCUUCCUUCAUCACUUUCAUUAACAAAACUAUUAUCUAAUGCUUGGCUGUUUACAUUGUCAUAACUGAUACUCCGUGCUCGAUUGUGAUUUUUCCUGACACUUUUCU